rnacentral:lncRNA from 1 species
AAGCAAGAUGUGCAGGGACUGUACUGCUUUCAAACUCAGGGCAAUCAGCUGGAGCAUUUGUUCACGCAGAUGGGCACCUACAUGUUCCACUUCUCCCUGGUGAGCUCAAAAUACAAAGAGGUACCUCCAGCAGUAGUGCGUAUUAACGUGGCGCCCUCGAACACUGACAUGUGCGAUGCACGCUGCUUAGAACAGCCCAAAAGGAAGCGCAGAAGACCACGUGAAGACACGUCUGAAGCCACAAUACAGGAGUACACACACUUAGACUGCUAAUAUUUUUUUGUUCCACACACGAGUCUGAAUUAGCGUAUUUUUCAAGUCAAAACUAUAGUAUUGAUGUAGUGAGCGUCUUUGUUAUGUGCAGUGGUUCUUUAGACGUGGCACCCAUUGAUGAUGGGCUCGAGGAUGAUUUUGAAGAGCCUCCUCAUAUAGUGAACACAAAAAUCCAUGUCACGACCCUCGAUGUGAUUGUUUCAGUAAGUCUCGAGACUCAACUCAAAAACAUUGCGGUUAACGCAGAGUGGUGACUCUACGAUGAUGAGUUUGAACCCAUCCAAUGCCUUUUCUCACCUUGAAUACAGGUGAACGGGUUUUUUGCGAUUGCGGUAUUUUUGGGAUUAGCACUCAGCCCCCCGUUGCCUCAGUUUCAGGCAGCUACAACACUUGCGCCAGCCAGAUUGGAGUGCUGGCCACAAAUUAACGCUUACCGCUC